AGUGAACGCUGGCGGCGUGCCUAAUACAUGCAAGUCGAACGGAGUGGCGCACGGGUGAGUAAUAUAUAGCUAAUCUGCCCCUUGCUGGAGGACAACAGUUAGAAAUGACUGCUAAUACUCCAUAGCAAGGGAUGAGACUAUAUCGUAUCAGCUAGUCGGUGGGGUAACGGCCUACCGAGGCUAUGACGCGUAACUGGUCUGAGAGGAUGAUCAGUUACCUUGGAACUGAGACACGGUCUAAACUCCUACGGGAGGCAGCAGCAGGUAAUACGGCGCAAUUGGGGAAAACCUGACGCAGCAACGCAGCGUGGAGGAUGACAAUUUUCGGAGCGUAACCUUGUUUUGUUAGGUAAGCGGUACCUAAAGAAUAAGCACCGGCUAACUCCGUGCCAGCAGCCGCGGUAAUAC
rnacentral:rRNA from 1 species